rnacentral:rRNA from 1 species
CUGGCUCAGAACGAACGCUGGCGGCGCGUCUUAAGCAUGCAAGUCGAACGGCAAGAGGUAGCAAUACCUCCUAGAGUGGCGGACUGGUGAGUAACACGUGGGUGACAUACCCUUCAGAUGGGGAUAGCUAUUAGAAAUAGUAGAUAAUACCGAAUACGAGCACAGGGGUUAGAGAUCUGUGAGGAAAGGAGCUAAGGCUCCGCUGAAGGAAUGGCCUGCCGGCCCAUUAGCUAGUUGGUGAGGUAAGAGCCCACCAAGGCGAUGAUGGGUAUCCGGCCUUAGAGGGUGAACGGACACAUUGGGACUGAGAUACGGCCCAGACUCCUACGGGAGGCAGCAGCUAAAGAAUAUUCCCGCAAUGGAACGAAAGUCUGACGGAGCGACGCCGCCGUGGAUGAAGAAGGCCGGAAGGUUAGUAAAAUCCUUUUGAAACUGAAGAAUAAGCGUUGUAGGGAAUGACAGCGUGGUGACAGUUAGGUUUUGAAUAAGCAACGGCUAAUUACGUGCCAGCCGCCGC